rnacentral:tRNA from 1 species
CAGGGAGACAACACAAUGAUUUUGAUGCUGAGUGCUUUUAUUCUUAGGCCGAAAUCCUGUCAUCUUAGGUCGAUCGGUACCUCAGCUUUGAAGUCAAGAAUCAGCAGCAACGUUGAUUGCUUGAUGGAGAUUUUCAGUUCCUAAACUUUGUCUAGGUCACACCCCAAAAGGGAUGGGACUCCUGGGCCAUUAGCUCAGGUGGUUAGAGCGCACCCCUGAUAAGGGUGAGGUCCCUGGUUCAAGUCCAGGAUGGCCCAUUCGGUGUUGGGGGUUUAGCUCAGUUGGUAGAGCGCCUGCUUUGCAAGCAGGAUGUCAGGAGUUCGAGUCUCCUAACCUCCACUGACCGAACUUGAUUCCCAUCUCCAAAUUUUUGGAGUUGAGCUCGAUUGGAGUGUGAUUUAGAUGUGUCCGCUGGAUGACCCCAGCUUCCUGUCACUCCAAGUUUUAGGUUAAAGCCUUGAAUUUGGUUGAUAAGAUGCUGGGCUCGGAUCAAAUGAUCAAGCAAUUGAUGAUUUGAUUUGAAGUUCUAGCAGAACCUUGACAACUGCAUAGGUGAGUCUGGAAAAAACAAAGCAUCUUACAGAUGCAUUGUUUUGAAUCUGAUCUUCCGAAAGGGAGAUUGGAUCUAGAACAAUGAAAAUUCUUUUGAGCAAGAGCCGAGACUCUUGAGCGUUCUUUGAUUGGUGUCGAGCCAAUCAGAGUUUGAUCUUGUUUUUAGUAAUAAAAACUUGAGAAUCUGCUUUCAACGGCGGUAAGCGUUCAGGAGGUUAAUU